rnacentral:lncRNA from 1 species
UGUGCAUUUAUGCGGUUAACAAAAGUUCUUUGUGCUGGCUGCACACAUUUUUAAUUCCCAUUUUUUUGCAAACAGGCAACGCAAUGCAUGAUGGGUGAUAUAGCAUCCCUCUAGUCUAGUCAGGCCGGGGGCCCCGGUCUCCUUCAUCUGUUGCUAUGGAGAUAUGCUCCCCUCCCUUCGAACGGCUUUCGUCACUUGACAAAACACGACCACGUGACCUCUGUCCUCGGCUUUCCCACCCUUCACCUAGUUUCUGUCCAUCACUAUAAAGCUCCGGCCAAUCGCGAAGGGCGUCUUACAUGUAUAACUUAAGGCCCGCCCUUGUAAGGAGCACGCCGACCAAUGAGGGGCGGGAUACGAGUUUGCUGUCCAUAGAGGCGGUGUUUCCAAAUACACACGCACACGUAAGAACCACCACAGAAGACGGGACGUUUGGUUAGACCGAUGUGCUUAGGGACCAAUGAGUCCGCACUACCGUAAAGAGGAAGCCCGCCUUCCUCCCCGACGAGCCAAUCAGCGGGCGGAGUGUCUCCAUCGCUCCGUCUUUUAGUCGCCUCAGCCGUAUUGAAAAUAACAGGGCUUCGCCAAGAAGCGCGGGAGGCCCUGGAGUCGUUUCGCCGGUCCCGGAAAAAGCGAGCUGGAGGCUUUCAAAGAAGCCCCGGGGGCGGCCGCCGAGACCCUUCGGAGGCCUCGUCGCCACCCUUAACUCUUCCGAAUCCGGCGGCGGCGGCGGGGGGAGCGGGCUCAAUGCGCACGCGCGAAGGCCUCUCCUGCUCCCGAGCCCUCCGGGCCGCCGCCGGGUCGCCGUCAGCAUGAGCCAAACCGCUGCCGUCCUGCCCCCGCCGGGUCCGACCUCCCGCUCCAUGCACGUGGAGUUGCCGUCUCAGCAGUUUUUUCAGAAUAAAAGUCCCUGGGUGGAAUGUGAAGCUGAUUGAAGUGCCCAGCCAAUUCUUUCCUAACUUCUUGGCACUCUGAAUCAAAACAGGGUAAGCUUGUCCUUAGAUUUUACUCUCUUAGCAAAUCCCAGGGCAGAUAACACUGGUUGAAAUAGCUGAAUAAAUUUUCUAUAACCCCUUUUGUUGAGGUUACCAGAUACAGCUACAUAAGCAAGAGGGGAAGAAAGUGUCAAGUUGCCUUGAUAGGCUUCUACUUUGGCCCAUAAGUUAUUAAUUUAGUAUUAGGCUUGCAGAGGUGUGAUACUUGAGUUGUAGCUGCCGUGAAGAGGCCCCCAUUAUGGAGUAGACCUAAAUUCUCUUUUCUGUGUGUAAUGUUUAAUAAAGUGGAGACAAGUCUCACAUAACAUAG